rnacentral:lncRNA from 1 species
AGGCUCUCGGUGAUUGCAUCUAAUCCAUUUCUUUUGGAGAAAAGCAUUUGCCACGGUCUGGAAGAGUACAGCACACGUGAUUAAUCUUUGGAGGUGAUUUUAUUUUGCGAUGCAAUUUUUAAUUUCCAUUUGAAGAGAAGGUGCAGCCACGCAGGAGUUACAUAUUUUGAUUGAACUUUAAUUUUUAGAAGAGCUCACGGUUCACGUAGAUUUGC